CUACGGGCCGCUGCAGUGAGGAAUAUUGCGCAAUGGGGGCAACCCUGACGCAGCGACGCCGCGUGAGUGAGGAAGGCCUUUGGGUCGUAAAGCUCUGUCAGAGGGGAAGAAGUGCAUAGGGGUUAAUAUCCUUUAUGUUUGACGGUACCCUCAAAGGAAGCACCGGCUAACUCCGUGCCAGCAGCCGCGGUAAUACGGAGGGUGCAAGCGUUAAUCGGAAUCACUGGGCGUAAAGGGCGCGCAGGCGGUUUGCUAAGUCAGAUGUGAAAGCCCACGGCUUAACCGUGGGAGUGCAUUUGAAACUGGCAGACUUGAGUACCAGAGGGGGUGGUGGAAUUCCCGGUGUAGAGGUGAAAUUCGUAGAUAUCGGGAGGAAUACCGGUGGCGAAGGCGACCACCUGGCUGGAUACUGACGCUGAGGCGCGAAAGCGUGGGGAGCAAACAGGAUUAGAUACCCCUGUAGUC
rnacentral:rRNA from 1 species